rnacentral:rRNA from 1 species
UACGAAGGGUGCAAGCGUUGUCCGGAAUUAUUGGGCGUAAAGAGCUCGUAGGCGGUCUGUCGCGUCGAAUGUGAAAACCCGGGGCUCAACCCCGGGCCUGCAUUCGAUACGGGCAGACUAGAGUUCGGUAGGGGAGUCUGGAAUUCCUGGUGUAGCGGUGAAAUGCGCAGAUAUCAGGAGGAACACCGGUGGCGAAGGCGGGACUCUGGGCCGAUACUGACGCUGAGGAGCGAAAGCGUGGGGAGCAAACAGG